rnacentral:rRNA from 1 species
GACGAACGCUGGCGGCGUGCUUAACACAUGCAAGUCGAACGGAAAGGCCUGCUUUCCCUUGUGGAUUGCGGGUACUCGAGUGGCGAACGGGUGAGUAACACGUGAGUGAUCUGCCCCCAACUUGGGUAUAAGCCUGGGAAACUGGGUCUAAUUCCCGAUAGGACUGCAGGGUGGUGCCUGUGGUGGAAAACGAUUUUCUAGUGGUUGGGGAUGAGCUCGCGGCCUAUCAGCUUGUUGGUGGGGUAAUGGCCUACCAAGGCGGCGACGGGUAGCCGGCCUGAGAGGGUGGACGGCCACAUUGAGACUGAGAUACGGCCCAGACUCCUACGGGAGGCAGCAGUGGGGAAUAUUGCACAAUGGGCGGAAGCCUGAUGCAGCGACGCCGCGUGGGGGAUGACGGCCUUCGGGUUGUAAACUCCUUUCGACCGCGAGGAAGCCACCUGGUUGGAAGGGUGGUGACGGUAGUGGUAGAAGAAGCACCGGCUAACUACGUG